CAUUAUUGAAUUUUGAAAGGGGUUGUAGCUGAUCUUUUAGAUAUGUGCACACCUCUAUCYAAAUUUCCUUACACCAUGUGCACCUUUUGUAGGGCCAACAUUUUGUUGGUCCCUAUGUUUGUAACACAUACAACACAUCAUAAAUGAAUGUUAUUAUUGAAAUAUACAACUUUCAACAACGGAUCUCUUGGCUCUCGCAUCGAUGAAGAACGCAGCGAAAUGCGAUAAGUAAUGUGAAUUGCAGAAUUCAGUGAAUCAUCGAAUCUUUGAACGCACCUUGCGCUCCUUGGUAUUCCGAGGAGCAUGCCUGUUUGAGUGUCAUUAAAUUUCUCAAGCUUCUUUGUAUUUUGAAGCAUUGGAUUUUUGGAGUGUUGCUGAUGUCAGAGUUAGCUCCUCUUAAAUGUAUUAGCUUAUAUAUAUUUUGUGAAUAGGCUUUGGUUUGAUAAUAUCUAUGCUAUUGCCAAUGAAACAAAUAUGAGCUUCUAACAACAAAAAACACUUUUUGAUAUUUGACCU
rnacentral:rRNA from 1 species